GAUGAACGCUGGCGGCGUGCCUAAUACAUGCAAGUCGAACGCGAGAGGAGGGAGCUUGCUCCCUCUGAUCGAGUGGCGGACGGGUGAGUAACACGUAGGCAACCUGCCCAUCAGCCGGGGAUAACUGCGGGAAACCGUGGCUAAUACCGGAUAAUCCUCUCCACCGCGGGGUGGGGAGUUGAAAGACGGUUUCGGCUGUCGCUGAUGGAUGGGCCUGCGGCGCAUUAGCUGGUUGGCGGGGUAACGGCCCACCAAGGCAACGAUGCGUAGCCGACCUGAGAGGGUGAUCGGCCACACUGGGACUGAGACACGGCCGAGACUCCUACGGGAGGCAGCAGUAGGGAAUCUUCCGCAAUGGACGCAAGUCUGACGGAGCAACGCCGCGUGAGUGAAGAAGGGUUUCGGCUCGUAAAACUCUGUUGUUAAGGAAGAACGCCAGGUAGAGUAACUGCUACCUGCGUGACGGUACUUAACCAGAAAGCCACGGCUAACUACGUGCCAGCAGCCGCCGUAA
rnacentral:rRNA from 1 species